rnacentral:rRNA from 1 species
GUAAUACGAAGGGGGCUAGCGUUGUUCGGAUUUACUGGGCGUAAAGCGCAUGUAGGCGGAUAUUUAAGUCAGAGGUGAAAUCCCAGGGCUCAACCCUGGAACUGCCUUUGAUACUGGGUAUCUUGAGUAUGGAAGAGGUGAGUGGAAUUCCGAGUGUAGAGGUAAAAUUCGUAGAUAUUCGGAGGAACACCAGUGGCGAAGGCGGCUCACUGGUCCAUUACUGACGCUGAGGUGCGAAAGCGUGGGGAGCAAA